rnacentral:rRNA from 1 species
UGGGGAAUAUUGCACAAUGGGCGCAAGCCUGAUGCAGCCAUGCCGCGUGUAUGAAGAAGGCCUUCGGGUUGUAAAGUACUUUCAGCGGGGAGGAAGGGAGUAAAGUUAAUACCUUUGCUCAUUGACGUUACCCGCAGAAGAAGCACCGGCUAACUCCGUGCCAGCAGCCGCGGUAAUACGGAGGGUGCAAGCGUUAAUCGGAAUUACUGGGCGUAAAGCGCACGCAGGCGGUUUGUUAAGUCAGAUGUGAAAUCCCCGGGCUCAACCUGGGAACUGCAUCUGAUACUGGCAAGCUUGUGUCUCGUAGAGGGGGGUAGAAUUCCAGGUGUAGCGGUGAAAUGCGUAGAGAUCUGGAGGAAUACCGGUGGCGAAGGCGGCCCCCUGGACGAAGACUGACGCUCAGGUGCGAAAGCGUGGGGAGCAAACAGG